UCCGUAGGUGANACCUGCGGAAGGAUCAUUCACACGCAUCCAAUCGAAUCAUGUGAACAGUGUGGCGUGAAUGUCUGCUUUGUGGUGAACAACCUGGGGCAGUCGAUUCAAGGGUAGUGGGGCAAGUUUGGUGGCCUUGUGUCGCCCGGGCUUGUUGGCCUGCUACCACGGGGUUUGGCUUACGACCUCGGAACUGGAAUUUCUCCUUUGGUGGGUUACCACCAGACUUAUUCUUUACACAACUUUCAGCGACGGAUGUCUCGGUUCGAACAACGAUGAAGGGCGCAGCGAAGUGUGAUAAACAUUGUGAAUUGCAGAAUUCCGUGAACCAACAGGGUUUUGAACGCAUACUGCGCUUUCGGGAUAUCCCUGAAAGCAUGCCUGCUUCAGUGUCUACUUCUUAUCAUGCCAGCGGCGCUUUCCUGGCUUCUCGUCAGGUAAAUGCUGUCUGUGCGUGUCUGCGCAUCUAAGUGCCUUCUGGCCUUCGAUGCGUGUAGUGCAUAGGGAAGCUCUCUGGCGGGUAAACAAGUGAGCAUCUCUUCGAUGUCUUCUCUUUGCCUCGCUGUGAGCAGUUUCCUUUACCUCCAUCGGACGUCUUUUGGCGGCCUUCUCUCCAAGACAUGAAGUUAGGCCAGCAAACCCGCUGAAUUUAAGCAUAUCAAUA
rnacentral:rRNA from 1 species